ACGGGGUGGACACCGUCCCUGUCCUCCAGGAGCUCACGUAUGCCUGCCUGUGAGCGCCUCGACGACAGAGCCAGAGUCCACCCCUGCACUGCCCAA
rnacentral:pre_miRNA from 14 species